AGUCGAACGCUUCAGCAAUGAAGAGUGGCAGACGGGUGAGUAACCCGUGGGAACCUUCCCAGUGGUACGGAAUAGCCCAGGGAAACUUGGGGUAAUACCGUAUAAGCCCUUAGGGGGAAAGAUUUAUCGCCAUUGGAUGGGCCCGCGUCGGAUUAGCUUGUUGGUGAGGUAAAAGCUCACCAAGGCGACGAUCCGUAGCUGGUCUGAGAGGAUGAUCAGCCACACUGGGACUGAGACACGGCCCAGACUCCUACGGGAGGCAGCAGUGGGGAAUAUUGGACAAUGGGCGCAAGCCUGAUCCAGCCAUGCCGCGUGAGUGACGAAGGCCUUAGGGUUGUAAAGCUCUUUUGGCGGGGACGAUAAUGACGGUACCCGCAGAAUAAGCUCCGGCUAACUUCGUGCCAGCAGCCGCGGUAAUACGAAGGGAGCUAGCGUUGUUCGGAAUUACUGGGCGUAAAGCGCACGUAGGCGGAUUUGUUAGUCAGGGGUGAAAUCCCGGGGCCCAACCUCGGAACUGCCUUUGAUACUGCAAGUCUGGAGUCCGGAAGAGGUGGGUGGAAUUCCUAGUGUAGAGGUGAAAUUCGUAGAUAUUAGGAAGAACACCGGUGGCGAAGG
rnacentral:rRNA from 1 species